GUGGUUGAAAAUAGCCUGAAAAUACCCCUUGCCCUGCCUCCUCCUCCUCUCCCAGAGCGGGCAGAGCAGGCAGAGACCGCACCUGCAGAGUGGGCUGGGCCACUUGGGUUACAUAAGCUUGGCCAUAGCCUAGGGAGAAGGCUGAGGGCUCAGCGUCAGCACCAGGGCCAGGAGGAAGCCUGGGCAUCCCCUCGAACCUCAGCCAGGGGUCCUUGCCUAGAGGGGGCCUGGGCCUUGCAGACUGUCCAGGGGCCGGGGACGGGGGUGGGGAGGGGGCCUGCACUCCCGCCCUGGGAGACCGCUUGGCCUUUGUGUGGCGAGGGGCUGGGAGGUCGGCUCUCCGGCUCCACCUUGGGAAUCCUAGGAGACCCUCAGUGCUCUCCCCGAUCCCCAGAAACAAACACACGCCCCCUCGUAGCGAGAGCCGCGGCAGGGAACAGCAGAGGCCGCGCAGGCGGAGGCGGGGGAACCGCGAGCUGGGUCCCUUUUUGUAUCUGGGAGAGAGGUGGUGUACGGUGUGUGCGGUCUGGGGAGGCGACCAUCACUUCUCCUAGAGCCCUCAUGCCUUCCAUCUCUGUGACCCCGGCUGCCGAGGAGGCAACGAGGGAGGUCGAGCCGCUGCCUCCCGUGGGCGGCAGCGAAACUCCUCACCCGCAAGCCGGGGUGCCGCCGAGUCUGGCUUUGAGUACCCAGCAAGGUCAAGCAGGCGAAGCAGGGUACGGGGGUUCCUGGGCGCGCCCCCGUCCGCGCACGGUCCGGGCCUUGGAAGGGGGUGUGGGAAGCCCGCCGAGUCAGUCCCGCGUGCCCGCCGCCCGCGCCCGGUCCCCGGAGGCGGACGUUGCGCGCGUUCCGGGAUCCCGGAGCGCCAGGCGCCCCACGCCCUCCCUCUCGGCUAGCUAGCAGCUCCGCGGCGCUGCUUUCAGACUUGUUGCGCCUGGCAGAAGCCUUCUGGGGGGCAGAAGGCUGGCGCGGGAGCCCGGGCGGCUGGGGUCCGGCCCGGAAGCCCAGGGAUGCGCCAGAGAGGCGCGCGGCUCCGCGGGCGAGCGCUGCGCUGGGAGAUCCAGCCCGGAGUUUGCCGCCUCCUAUCCCAGGGAAGGGCGCUUGAUCCUGCCUGGGUCCCGCGCGGGGGCGGAGAGGGGGCGAUCCGUCGCCUAGGCGCCAGGCACGCUUCUACGGAUCUUGGGCUAAAGAGGGGGUGCAGCCAAGUUGAGGCGCCCUCAGGGCCCUUCCCUUGCCCAGCGGCUCCAGCCCCUCUCGGACCUCGGCGGCCGCGUCCGUGAAAUGGGGGCGCGGGCUCUACUCUCGGAUCCCUCCCAGCCCCGACCCUCCGCUCCAGCGUGCUGGAUCCGCGGCGUCUGGGCGACCCGAGUCCCGAACCUUCCGCGCCUGCAGACACAGCCGCGGGGCCGGGCGGGAAUAGCCCGGGCAGGGUCCAGAGAGCGCCCGGGGUCCGGGCAGCCUCCCGCCGCACCCUCCGCCCCUGGCCGGCCCGGCUCCGCGUCUGGGAGUGGGUCGUGGGGCCCGGAGCCCGUCCUCCCGGGGCGCCUUGGGGAUCCAGGCCCAGGCGGCCGGCGCGGGGCCGCAG
ensembl:lncRNA